GAUGCUAUCCUCCAAUAAUUUGACAGGAAACUUGCCGAUGACUUUUGCCAUGCUGGGAAGUCUAACAGAUUUUAGGAUAAAUGAUAACAACUUCAGAGGAACAAUACCUGAUUUCAUACAGAAUUGGAAGCAACUGACAAGAUUAGAAAUGCAUGCAAGUGGACUGGAGGGACCCAUCCCACCAAAUAUAUCUCUUCUGAGUAAUUUACAAGACUUG